rnacentral:rRNA from 1 species
CAUUUUCAAAGAGUCAGGUUGUUUGGGAAUGCAGCCUAAAUUGGGUGGUAAAUCUCACCUAAAGCUAAAUAUUUGCGAGAGACCGAUAGCGAACAAGUACCGUGAGGGAAAGAUGAAAAGAACUUUGAAAAGAGAGUUAAACAGUAUGUGAAAUUGUUAAAAGGGAACCGUUUGGAGCCAGACUGGCUUAACUGUAAUCAAUCUAGGCUUUGGCCUGGAUGCACUUGCGGUUUAUGCCGGCCAACGACAGUUUUGUUUGAGGGAAAAAAUUACAUUGAAUGUGGCCCUUCGGGGUGUUAUAGCUUU